rnacentral:rRNA from 1 species
GACGAACGCUGGCGGCGUGCUUAACACAUGCAAGUCGAACGAGUGGCGAACGGGUGAGUAAUGUAUGGGGAUCUGCCCGAUAGAGGGGGAUAACUACUGGAAACGGUGGCUAAUACCGCAUACUAUCGGAUGAAACCAUAUGGGAUUAGCUAGUAGGUGGGGUAAAGGCCCACCUAGGCGACGAGCUCUAGCUGGUCUGAGAGGAUGAUCGGCCACACUGGGACUGAGACACGGCCUAGAGUCCUAGGGGAGGAGGCAGUGGGGAAUAUUGGGCAAUGGGCGCAAGCCUGACCCAGCAACGCGGCGUGAAGGAAGACGGUCUUCGGAUUGUAAACUUCUUUAGACAGGGACGCGGUACCUGUAGAAUAAGCCACGGCUAACUACGUGCCAGCAGCCGCGGUAAUAC